UUGCUUGCUUCAGCAGCACAUAUACUAAAAUUGGAACGAUAAAGAGAAGAUUAGCAUGGCCCC
rnacentral:snRNA from 14 species